UCACCAUUGGUUAACUAGUCUGAAUUGACAGCUGCUCCUCUAGCCAAUCAGUCGAAGGGGGAGAUUACGUCACUCCAGUGCGACUCAUGACUUCUGUGGCUAACUCGUACAGGUGUGAAGAUGGAUAGCCCCCGUCAGCUGGCAAAUGCUGGACAGUCUCAGGCAGUGACAAGGCUGCUUUUAGAGAGACUCUUGUCACGAUUACAGGAGGCCAUGCAGCGCUUGCCUCUGGACCUGGAUUAUUUAUAUUUUAUUUGCACAAAUGAUUUGACAUUGAUCACUUCACAUGCAAGUCGUGAACAUGUGCCUCAUGUAUGAGGUAAUGCAGUGCCUUUCAAACCUGUGUUCUGUUCUUUCUAAUUGCCUGGACACAAGACGUACCCCUUCAGUUGUUGUAAAUGAAAUUGCUGGACCAACGGGACGUCCCAAAAUCACUGUAUCUGAACAGCAUCUCAGACGAUUGAUAGAAGUUGGUCUGACUGUAUCUUGCAUUUCAAAACUGCUUGGCAUGUCAACAGCAACUGUGGAACGAAGAAUGCAAGAGUUUUGUAUUAGUGUGAGAGGAACAUACAGUCAAUUGACUGACGAGGAGUUAGACAAUCUUGUGGUUGCAAUCAAAACAACAUCACCACACUCAGGCUACAGAAUGAUGAGAGGACACUUGAAAGCUCGUGGUCAUCGAGUCCAGUGGAGCAGAGUCUGGGAUUCUAUGAAUAGAGUUGAUUCAGCUGGAGUCCUUGCUAGAUUGUCACAACUUGGACAUGUUGUGAGAAGAUCAUAUUCAGUACAGGCUCCUCUAUCCCUUAUGCAUUUGGACACCAACCACAAGCUGAUCAGAUAUGGCUUAGUAAUAUUUGGGGGCAUAGAUGGCUACUCAAGAAAGAUCAUGUAUCUGGGGGCCACAAACAACAACAGAGCAGAGACUGCUCUAGGUUUCUUUCUCGAGGCAGUAGAGAAGCAUGGAGUUCCUUCACGGUAUGUAUGCACAUUUUAGUCUGUAUGUCUGUCCUUAUUAAAUGUAUUGUCUUAAUGUGUAGGGUAAGAGCAGACCGAGGUGUAGAAAAUGUGGACAUAGCAAGGUGGAUGUUCACUGUUCAGGGCUGUGGCAGAGGAAGUUUCAUUUCGGGGAAGAGCGUUCAUAAUCAGAGGAUCGAACGAUUGUGGAAAGACGUGUGGAUGUCGGUUUCAAAUGUGUAUUAUGAUGUUCUACAUAGUAUGGAAGAGAGUGGCUCUCUUGACCCAUCAAACAGCCUUCAUCUCUUCUGUGCACAUUAUGCUUUUCUUCCUCGCCGCCAAAGAGACCUAGAGACCUUCACUGAUGCAUGGAAUGACCAUUCCAUCCGUACAGAACAAAAUCUUUCCCCCAAUCAGCUGUGGGAAAUAGGACUUGCACAGAAUGCAGUCAAUGUUUCAUGCGACAUGGAGAACUUACCCACUGGAGGAGCAGAAUGUUGGAG